rnacentral:sRNA from 1 species
GCCGGGCAUGGUGGUGCAAGCCUGUAAUCCCAGCUGCACUGGAGGCUGAGGUAGGAAUAUCGUAGGUUCAAAGCCAGCCUCAGCAACAGCGAGGCGCUAAACAACUCAGUGAGACCCUGUCUCUA